AAAAGAGGCCUAACGGAUACUCCUUACAUAUGCAAGUCGAACGAACUUAAGUGUAUACUUGAGUUAGUGGCAAACGGGUGAGUAACGCGUGAGAAGAUGCCCUUCAAACAUGGAUAACUACGAGAAAUUGUAGCUAAUACAGGAUAAUCCUUGUUCUCGGGAGAGAUCAAGGCAAAGGUUUACGCCGAUGAAGGAUUUGCUUGCGUUGUAGUUUUAGUUGGUGAGGUAACGGCUUACCAAGAUAUACUGCAUAGCUGGUCUGAGAGGACGGUCAGCCACACCGGGACUGAGAUACGGCCCGGACUCCUUCGGGAGGCAGCAAUGGGGAAUUUUGGACAAUGGAGGAAACUCUGAUCCAGGGAUAUCGUGUGAGUGAUGAAGACCUUCGGGUUGUAAAGCUCUUUCAGCAGGGAAGAAAUUGACGUUACCUGCAGAAGAAGUGCCGACUAACUUCGUGCCAGCAGUCGCGGUAAUACGGGGGGCGCAAGCGUUGUUCGGAAUUACUGGGCGUAAAGGAUGCGUAGGCUGUUUUGUAAGUUUGUUGUUAAAGCCCAGGGCUCAACCCUGGUUCGCAAUGAAUACUGCAAGACUAGAGAUCGGGAGAGGUAAAUGGAAUGUAUAAUUUAGAGGUUAAAUUCGUCGAUAUUAUAAGGAACACCAGAAGCGAAGGCGAUUUACUGGAACGAUUCUGACGCUGAGGCAUGAAAGCGUGGGUAGCGAAUGGGAUUAGAUACCCCCUUAGUCCACGCUGUAAACGAUGAUAGCUAGAUAUCGGGGUUUUAAAUUUCGGUUUCGCAGUUAACACAUUAAGCUAUCCGCCUGAGGAGUACUGUCGCAAGGCAGAAACUCAAUGAAUUGACGGAAGGGC
rnacentral:rRNA from 1 species